rnacentral:lncRNA from 1 species
GCGUUCUGUUAUGUUCUUUUUGUUUUGAUUGUUUUGUUUUCAUCAGAAACAACGUUCUUAAAUCUGUUAACUUCUGUGUCAUUUGGUCUCUUGUGGAGAGUUGACUCUUGGGAAAUCAUACCAACUGUUCUUUUUUUAUAUAUAUAUGAUUAAGACUAUAAUUGAGUUGGAACUAAUGAUGCUAAAAUGUCAUUCAGUACGGGACUACCGUAGCACUGGCCAG